AUGCAACACCACUGCCCUGCUCUUAUUAUAAUUUUUUAUUUUAAUUUAGUUUUGUGGUAUUUGGUGCUGGAGCCUAGGCUCUUGGAUAUGUUUGGCAAGUGAUCUAUCACAGAGCCACAUUCCAGGCCCAAAUCUGUCUCAUUGGUUAGGUGCAUAAAGGAAGGACCUGGCUACAGAGUCAGGGGGCUGGGUUCACGAGGUUGUCUGUUAUGGAAGCAGGAGGACACCUGUCUGUCUCUGAAUUUUUUACUCCAGGAAUCCUGGAAGGAGGGUGCUCUAAGACCCUUCCUAGUUUGGGAAAUAGCAGGUGGACUAGGGGUCUCCUUAGUCUCCCCAUCUGCAAAAUGGGGGCAGUGGGCUGUCUGUUAGCAACAUUGCAGGGAUGUGGUGGGAGGGGCUCUGCAGUACAGGAGUACCUAGGGGCUUCUUUAGAGAGCGGCAGAUUUGAAUCUUGUAAGAAAUCUAACCCAUCAGGGUUCCUGAAACCCCGGGAAAGCUACACUCCCAGUUUUCUCCUCCCUCUAUACUAUUUAGCCUCCCCCCCCAAAAAAAAAAACACUGAAGCUUAGAUGAAGAUGAAGCCUGGGGCUCUGAGCUCAGGGACCUGGAAUUCCUCUAUCCCCCCUCUGCCUUGUACAAGGGAACUAUUAAUUGUAAUUUAAGCCUCCUGAGUUAAAAGCAGCGUGUAGAUUCAAAGAUUCUUUCAUGCCAAUUACACAUCGUUUCUGGCUGCACUUUAGUGCCAGGCUUUUAUCUGUUGUUCUGGGGAAUCACUUACCGGCCGGAGCGCUGUGCCUCACACAGAUUUCUCCCUGAUUAUGUGUAAUGGCAAAGGGAGAGUUAACUCUCCGCCCUCCCAAGCUGUGUCAGUAGUUUCCCCAUGCAGCCAGACACAGCAGCUCAGGAAAACAGGCGGGCAUUUGGGAGGUACAGGCACCUUUGUGUUCUAGAGCCAUUUGUACAAGGCUUUAAGAGGACUUGUGUGGUUCAGGGCAGCCAAGAGGGCAUGUUGCUGCUCUAAAUACCAAUGCAGCUAAUUGCUUGCUCUACACAUUCCAUAACAACGGGAGGCUAUUGUGUGCCAGGCUCUGGGCUGGCAUCGUCUCCUUAUUCACAUUGCAAGGUGCUGUUCUUCUUGGCCAUACAGAUGACCACACACACAGACACACACACACACACACACACACACACACACACACACACACACCCUCCACACAUAGGGACACAGCUUUGAAUUCUCAUCUCAUUCACAAAUGUGCACACAGUUGGACACUUUUUACAGCUACUAUGUGUCUGCCUGCUCCCCUAGAGUUAGGAGGCCACAUGGACUUGGUGUGGGACUUGCCACGGUAUGGGAUUAUAGAAUUAGGCCCCCAUGCUAUCGAAUCUCCAGUGUUUCCAACUUCCGCUGUGCCCCCAAACCUCAUCUGUCAUUCCUAAUUGGAGUAACAGCCUACUUUGUCCAUCCCAGAGCUGGGUCGUGCUAUGGUGCUAACUGCUGUGAAUCUCAAGUACAACAUGUCCCCAUCAGUGAUCUUCUAAACCUUUCCUGGUGGGCGUCUCCCUUUCUGAGAUCUUGGCAAGUCUUUCCAUCGCAGGACAAGAAAGCAUCAUGGUCAUUGUUGGCUCCUGUGUUUUCUUCACUCCCUGCAUCCAGUCAUUGGCCAAACAUACUGGCCGUGCUUUACAACAUGCCUCUGGUCCCCUUUUACCGCCGUCACCGCCAUCCUUGGGCUCACCUGGGUUACUGCAGUGGCUUCUGCCCUUUGUCUCACAUGGAAGCCUGGGGAGGUCUAAUUUCAGACCAGGUCCUCUGCGCAAAUCUGAGGACCUUAUAGUGGCCUGCCAGUUCUUAUGUGCUCUGUUCUGUGUCACCCCAUCCCAUUACUGACCUCUCUUGGCCUCUCCUCCCCCUGCCCAGGAUGCUUUCCCACCAGGUUUCCACUUGGGUAACUCUCUUACAUCCACCUUCAAGUCUGUGCUCAAAUAUCACUACCUAAUGAGGUUGCCUUAAAUAUCUUCUUUGAUUUCACAGCCUGCUGCCUUUUUGGGUCCUGCCCUUCCAAUCCUUCUUCUGCAGAUUUUCUCCUUUUGUUUGCCCCCCUCCCUUCCCCUAGAACAUACCCUUCCCAUAGCAGGUUGAAUGCACUGAAGAAGACUGUGAUAGAGAAUUUUCCUGGGAGGAAGUUUACUGGGAAGGGCUCUCAGACCUGUGGGGCAUGAAGGAAGCAGCCCUGGGCAGAGGACAAGUUGGCAUGUGAUGUAGUCACAGCAAAGACUGUAGCUGAUCCCAAGAGAGCUGAGAGCCAGGAUGGCUUUCAAAGUGGCUAGGCUAAUGCCUAGGGGAUGGGGAAGUUUUUACUCCCUCCUGGCUAGACAUUGGCUGUAGGGGCUCCUAGGGCAGGGAGUGAGCGGCCUUCGGUGGAGCAGUUGCCUUUCCUGAGCAGUUUUGCAUAAAGUCUCUGCUGAAUGCUACAGCCAUCAGCAUUCCUUGUGACCAGGGAGGAGUCUCAGUUCUGAAGUGGGGAACCGGGGCCACCACUUAAGUCUGUACGAACGGAUGAGUGUUGAUGUGUUAUAUUCAUUAUUUAUCCAUCUCUCUCACUGUACAGGGCGUUACAUGAGAGAAAGGCUGUGGCUACAACUGCAUGAGGUUUCUCAAGAGCUUAGAACAGUAGACCCUCCAUAAAUGUUUCCCGAAGGAGUGAAUGAACCACUUCAAUUCCCAGUGUCUCUUAUUUGUUUCUGUCACCACCUUAACUGGACUCUCAGCCCCAGUUCUGACACCAACCAGUUGUAUAAAUCAUAGACAAAAUGGUCUAGCUUCUUGAAGCCUUUACUUCUCCCUCUGUGAAAUGGGUAUACAAAGGCACUGGUCUCAGAGGGAUCAGAGAGGAGGGAUGUACAAACUUGUGAACACAGUUAGCUGGUGCUCAGUAACUGUUAGUAGCUGUUGGUGAGCUUGCCCUUGCUUCCUGGGUUCUGAUCGGAGCUGAGACUCCAGCUAGCAUACUUGAAGGCAACAGGUUACAGGGAAGUGUGGUAUUCAGAUGUAGAAUCUGCAGCCAUUAGUUUUUGGCUAAGGAGGACAGAGAUCUGCUUACCAGCCUCUGGCGGAGUUCUUGCUUUGGGAAAACUUGGUGUACACCUGUGUGUGUACAUGUGUCUGUAUAUUUUAUUGCAUACAGGAAAAUGCAAAGACAAGCUAUGUUCAAAGCCGUGUACUUUCUUUGUUUUGAGACACCGUCUCACUAUGUCACCCUGGCUGGUCUAGAACUCGUUACAUAGACCAGGGUGGCUUUGAACUCACAGAGAUCUGCGUGCUUCUGCCUCCUGAGUGCUAGCAUUAGACGUGUGUGCCACCAUGCCUGGCAAAGCUGUACUUCUGAAAGACAAUUUACCUUAGGCACUCAUUUUACUCCAGCAGUCAUCCAUGAGUGAAGAAUGGAAUGGCCAAGAGAGUCAUCUCACCUCCUGCUUCUCCUUCUUUACGUCUUGCAUGAAAUUCCUCCCAUUGCAUCGUUGAAUGAGCCCCCCCCCCAUGCCCAUAGUUUCUUGUGACUUUCUUGUGGCCAAACCCAGUAGAGAUGGAGUUGCCCUCAGGAGCAAUACCAACCACCCUUCUCCAUCUUGAGUUCCCUAAAUGGGUUGUGGAGGAUGCUGUGGGUUAGUUCCCAGGGACAGCAUUGGUGGCCCAUAGCAUAGCCUUCAGUGGUCGCUCUCCCAGAAUUGCCUUCUGAUAAAUGGAUUUGCCUCUCCUAGAGUUCGUGCUCCUUCCUGGAGGCAGUUUCAGUGCACUGACUGGUUGUUUUGGUACAUCUCUAAAGUGCCAUCCCUGCUCUAGAACUUUCCAAGUUGUUGCCAUCUGUGACGCACAUGCACGGAGUUCAAGGGCUCACACUGCCCAGUCCAGCUUUCUUGCUUUUUUGCUAAUGUUCCUGCUCGUGCUCUCCAGUAAGUCCUCUGCAUGCAAAUCUUCCGUCUUUGAUCUAUUUCUAGGGAACCUGACCUACUACUACAGUUGGUGCUGGGAGUGGUUCCUAGGAAACAGACUCUAAAAUGGGAAUCUCGAGCUGGAUUAUCCAUCGGCCUGUUGGUAACGAGAGCCCGUCUCUGGUGGUGGGUGGAGGUUCUAAUGGCCCUUGACUGGCUGUAGCAGUGCAAUUGUUAAAACUUCAAGCAGUGGUGAAGGAGGAUGGGAUACUGGGGGGAGGGAUGUGCUGGUAGGUAGCCUCUCUUAUGCUUGAGUUACUCAGAGGAGGUAGUGAUUAUAAAGUCUGUAGAAUCAGAUGGUUGUGGCCAGGGGUAAAGACAAUGGAGGGGUGAAAGGAUUCGUCACUAUUUUUAAAAUUAAAAACUAAGUUCUUUUUAUGCGCAUGUCUAUUUCGCCUGUGUUUAUGUCUGUGCACCACAUGUAUAAGAGCCCACGGAGGCCAGAAGAGAGUGUUGGAUUCUCUAGGACUGGAGUUGCAGACCAUUGUGAGUCACCAUGUCAGUGCUGGGAGUCGAACCCAGGUCCCUUGGAAGGGCAACAAGUGCUCUUAACUGAUGAACCAUCUUUCUAGCUCCUCAUUGCUAAUUUUAUAGUGAACUGUGAGAAUGGGAGGGCUUCCUGGCCAUCAGAAAAAGAGAAUUUUUCCCUACAGCUGGAGGGUAGAAAAACAGAUUAUAACCCAGGAUCAGGGUCGAGAAUUUCCAAAGGAAACAGAAUUCUCAACAUAGAAAGUCGGCUGUGUUUUCAUUAGUCAAGGUGUGGUUGGGGGGUCCUGAUAUAGGAAAAAGACAUUUGGAUUGAUCCCUUGACUACCUUGACACUCCAGCUGGUGACCUUUGCCUUCCUACUAAAGGCUAUAGUUUUCCUGUGGUUGAGGAUGACCCAAGAGCUUUUCAAGCUCCCAUUCAGCUGCACCAUGUAGCAACUGCAACACAGCCAGCCGCCAGGCCCAUAGCAUGAAUGAGGCUGCAGUAUAACCUGGGGCCCAGGAAGAAGAGAUGCAGGGCUCAGGCAGUGGCCGCGGCAGGAGCAGGGAGCUAACUUUCCUCUUGUAUCAGUGCCAGGCCCUCGGCUGCUGGUCUUCCCUUGCUGGUCCACCUUCCACCUUCCUGUCAGAGGAAUCUUUUAAAACAGAUGGCUCACCAGUCUCUGCCUUGCUUAGAACUCUUCAGUAGUCCCUGUUGCCUCAGGGGAAACCCACAUUUCUCUGCUUGCUGUUGCCUUAUCUCGGUUUCCGUGUGUUCUGCUGGCACCGGCUUUGCUUGUUCUCACACUGGAGCCUUUCUUUGCUCUUGCUGUUUCCUUUGCCUGGAAGCUCUCUCUCUCUCUCCUCCCUUCGCAGCGAGUCUUUCUAGUUCGGUUCAAGUGCCGAGGGCUCACCUCCAGUACGGGAUGCGUUCUAGUACCUGCCUUCCUCUCCACGUCACUACCUUUCUCUUCAGCUGCCGAGAAUGUGGGUUGCUGGGUGUGCCCAGCCUCAUCCCUCCAUGGGGACUGUGGAACAACAGGCAGAUACCUUCACUCAAGUGAUGGUCUCUCUGGAGCAACCCACAGAUAACGCUGACUGAUGAGGGGACUCGAGGACCAGCCUCCUUGCCUCAGCUUAGAACAACUCUUCCCUUCGUGACUACUAAGUAUUCAAAGGUCAGUGGCACCUUAGGUGCAGCUCUAGGGGCUUUUCUGUUGCUGUGAAGAAAUACUGUGGCCAAAAGCAACUUGGGGACAAAAGGGUUUGUUUCAUCUUAUACUUCCAAGUGACAGUUCAUCAUGGAGGAAAGUCAGUAGGAACUCAAGGCAGGAACCUGAACAGGGACCUGAGGCAGACCCCAUGGAGGAAGGCUGCUCACUGACUUGCUCUCAGAUCCAUGGUCAGCCACCUUUCUAUAGCCCAGGCCCACCUGCCUGGAGAUGUACCUUCUACCGUGGAUCGGGUCCUUCUAUAGAAAGUAGCACUCAAGAAAAUGCCCCACAGGCCAAUCCGAUGGAGACAAAUCUUCAAUUGACAAAAACUAACCCACAGGUGCAAGUGCAAUUCUAAAUUUCUCAGUAAAAAUAAUUUUAAUUGACAUUCACUAGUUGCCCAUGUUUCUAGGGUACAGCAUGAUAAUAUUUGAACACAUGGGCAUGCUGUGUAUUGAUCAAACCAGGGCAGUUAACAUUUCCAUGUCUAUCAUUUCAAUAAUGUUUGUAGCUUUUGAGAGCUUCUCUUCUAGCUAAAACAUGUUACAAUGAACUCCCCAGAUUGUGCUAUAGACCAUUAGGAUGCAUUACUUCUGUCUAAUUGCAAUUGGUACCCUAGCCCCUCCUGCCCGUCUCCUCCCCACCCUUGCCAUCUAGUAAUCACUACUCAACACUUGCUGAACUUUGCUUCCAGCUUCUUCCUUUUCUUAUAGGUGUCUCCAGAGAGUGUCUCCUACCCAAUAAAACUCAUUCUUUAAAACCUCUGCUUCAAAGGCUGUUCCAGAGAGCUCAAUCUAGAACACCGUUUAAUGUGUUCUUAGAUUUUCUUUCUCUGGGCCUCCUCAGAACAUAGGCAUCAUCUAGUGAGUGGUUUUUUUUUUCAGUUUCCUGUGGCUGCAUAACAAACUAGGCCUUUAAAAUCGUGACUUAAAAUGAUUGAAGUUUUUCUCUAUAUUUUAUGAGUCGGUUGGCCUCUUCUGGGCAGUUCUGCAGUUAUCCGUUGUGACUGCCCUCAGCUGGGAGCCCCUUUGAAGGUGGAAUGUCCCAGAUGUUUCUUUCCUCUCCAGGGCGUCCAUCCACAUGGUGUCUAAUCACUUACCUUUCUUACCCUGUAGUCGCUGGAUUCUCAGAAGGAGGAAGCGGAAGCGACUGCCAUUUUAAGGCUUGGUUUUCACUCCUGCCACAUAUUACUCAUGAAAGCAUGGCGAUAGGCAUGAUUGCAAAAGAGGGGACCAGGUUUCUUUGUGAGGGCAGAGCAUCAUGAUGUCCAGGGUAAGAGGGAGGAGCUGACCCUUGGAUACUGACUCCCACAGCAUCCUGCUGGGAGCUCCUGGAGAGCCAGGGUUCCUGUACGCCCAUUGUCUCCAGCCCAAUAGCUUCCAGGGACUGUCUGAGAUCCUUGGUGACAGAGUUCUGGUUCCACUGUUUCUCAUGUCAGAAUCGUGGGCUGAGAGAGUAGAGGCAGUGCUGACAAGCUGAGGCUGUCAUCAGCCUUUGAUGGAUCCUCCCUCUAAUUCCAAGACAGCAUCCAAAUGCUGCUUGGGAGUCUUUCUGGGCAUGGGCUCUGCCCCCUGGGGUGUGAACGGGCAAAUUUAAUUCAGCCACAUGGUUACACAGGGUCCUGGAUCCAAACACAUACUUAAUAGUUAAGACUUGUCUCUUCUCUCUCUUGUCAUUGUACAUUUAGAGCAUGUGGAAGUCAUUAGUGUUGUUUGUCAAAUAUUUCUGGCUGUGCACCUGCUGAACACAUGGAAGGAUUGCACUUCUUGGCCCUCUUGUGGUUGGGUGAAGCCUUGUGAUGAAUUCUGGCCAAUGAGCUGCACUGAUGCCUCACGAGGGCUUUUAAUCGCUUUGUGAAGCCUGUAGAGCUCUUCCUUCUGCCCCAGUGCUGGCCAAAUGCGGGAUGGAGUCUGUUUCAUCAGUCAGAUGAGGAAACAAGGGGCCGAGCCUCACCAACUCAUGAUGAGCAGGUGGCACAGGUACACAAUCUCAGCUACUGAAUUCUAGAAGGGUUUUUGUUAAAGCCCUUUGACCUUGACUUUCUGGCUGAUAGAGGGAUCCUAGCAGAUCCAGGCUGAGCUAUCUGAGCAGAGACCUGGAGUGAGAUAGAGGUGAGGAAGGAGUAGGUGUUGGGGUUGGGGUCCUACACCCAGGCCACACUCAGUAAGCAAUUAGUACACUAGUAGGUAACUACAGUUUACAAGGACUCAGUGUUCAAACCAAGAGGGUACAUUUCAGCAAAGCGGGACUUUAAGAAAAUUUUUGCCACAUCUCCUGUUUGGACCCCCCCCCCCAAUCUCCUCAUUCACUCCUAGGGAUUUGAGUCCUUGUCUUAAAGGCAAGUGAUUUGAAUGCCCAGAGAUUUGCAUAUGGGCUUUCCUUCUGUUGCUUUCUUUAUUCUAGUUCAGCGGCUCUCUAACUUUAGUGUGCCUAAAAAUUUCUGUUCAUGGCUGUAUAAACAAACUCACGGAUACUGUACUUUGCGAGUGGCUUCAGAGUUUUCCAAGGGCACUUUUGACUUCAUGCAAUUCUUGUCUCAUGCACUUCCAAAUCUGGCCCCGUGUAAGAUGAGAUUCCAUUGUUCAAAACCAAAAGAACCUUGCAAUUUUUAUGAGAUGCUGAGAGCACAAGAUGCCAGUAGCAGCUGCUCUUAGCCCAUUAUCCACCCGUCACCCAAGUCCUGUUGAUUUUACACCCACAGCCUAAGCCGCCAUCAUCCUUUUCCUGGACUCCCAGGGAGGGCUCCUAACUCAUUCCUGUUUCUCUUCUUGCUCCUUCCAGUCCAUUGUCUGCACCGCCAACAAAGCGAGCCACUCCAGACACCUGUCUGGUCACACAGCACCCCUUGUGCAAGUCCCUUUACCUGCCUCUCUCGGCUCUAACAGGGAGGACCAGCAUCUUUAGUGUUUCUAAGACCACAGAGCCUGACCUUGCCUGCCUCUCCAGCCUCAUGCGCCUCCUUGCAGGCUCCCUUCGGUCCCAGUGGUCUGUGCUGACCUUUUACCUUCAUCAACAUUUUCCUGUCACUCUCCCCCAACGCUGCAGAACCCCCGGCACCUGCUCUACCAUCUGCUGGGACUGUGCCUUCUCCACCCUCCCCUUUUGUGCUUGGCUAACUCCUACUCAUGCUUCAGAUGUCAGUUCAAAUGUUAUGCCUUCAGAGGUGCCUCCAAGCCAGCUCAUUCUUUAUUUGCUCUCCUAGAAUGUGUCGCGUUUCCUCGGAAUAUUUAUGCCAGUUUGUAAUCAUGCACUCAUUUGUUUGAUUAUCUGGUGAGCACUUGUUUCUCCCACUAGAAUGUGAGCUCUAGGAGAGCAGGGCUGGGACUGCCUAGCUGCCAUGCCACACGGCACGAUGGGACAGUGUUGAAAGCAGCACAGCAGCCGCGACUGUGGCUGCAGCUCUGAUGUCAGCGACAGCCCUCCACUCUGCAUGGUUCAGGCUGUGGUUUGCUGCAGUUUUUGGUUCUGAGCUCCCGAGGCCUGAGAAACAAGGAAUUUUCCCCAGAUGCAAAAACCAAGACCUAGAGCAAUGGUUCUCAACUUGUGAGUCUCCACCUCUUGGGGUCAAAUGACCUGCAUAUCAGAUAGUCACAUUAUGAUUCACAACAGUAGCAAAGUGGCAGUUAUAAAGUAGCAAUGAAUAAUAUAUUUGGGGUCACCACAACAUGAGGAACUGUAUUAAAGGGUCACAGCAUUAGGGAAGUUGAGAACCAUUGUCCUAGAGAAUAGAUAAUACUACAGGCUGUUGCCCAGGUUCUAGGGGAGGGUUCUUUCUUAGACCCCAUAGAACUCUGGCUUGUGCAUUGACAAGCUAGAUAUCACCCGAAGUCUCCAGGGUGGGGACUUCGUUGGGUAGACAGACCACAAGAGUGUAGUUACAAACAGCCCCCCCUUCUCUUUUUUCCCCUCCUCCUACAAUAGAAAGUCUUGGGAUACAGUAAGCUUGGGUGAUGGGAAAGUAACUGGGCUGGUGCAGCCUAGCCCACCUGUGGGACCAGUGAGGACUAUAGGAAGACUCAGACUUGAGGAAGGAUAUUAACAUCAGACUGCUGGCCCUUGGGACUUUAGUGUCUGUCCACUGGUCUGUGAGAGGGGUGAGACUUUUAGAAAGGAUGGACACUUCUACUUCCAGUUGUUCUGGGGGCAGGUUCAUACUACAUUAGAAAAAGAAGAGGUGUGAGGUAGGGUUGACGACAUUGUUUUCCUCAUUCUGGAUGCUUGGAUCAAUCUGUUCCAGAUCCUUAGACGCAGGAGUGACUAGAGUAGUUAAUAGCUAAAUUGCGGUAGCAGAUAAAUUUGAACAUUCUGUUUAGCUGAAGAAAAGUUUAGUUCUUGCUUCCAUAAUGAGUUCUUUCUCUCCAUUUCACGAUGCACUUAUUUUAAAUGUAUGGUUCCCUCCCUCUUUUCAUUCCUUUAUUGAAGAUGGAAGUUUCUGUCCUGCCUGGUUCACUUUAUUUAUUUAUUUUUUGACAGGGUCUCACGAUGUAAUCCAGGCUAGUUUGAACUCACAAUCCCCCAGCCUCUGCCGUUGUGAUUACAAAUGCCUGAUUGCAACUUUGGGUAACAUGUCACCCACCCUUCCUCCCUCCCUCCUUCCUUCCAGAUCAACUUUCUUUCAUGUAGCCCAGGUGGCCCUUGAACUCACUUUGUAACUAAGGAUAACCUUGCAUUUCUAAUCCUUCUGCCUGCACCUCCCUAGUGCUGGGGUCACAGGCGUGUGUCACUAGACCCAGAACUGUACCCUAGCAAUAUGAAUCUUUGCUGUCGAUUUUCAUUUUCAUAUGUGCAUGUGUGUGUGUCAAGUUGUCAAAAAACUAGCCAGCACAUGAACUGUGGGGAAAAAUGGCAUCUCCCACUGGAAGCUGCUCUAUGCUGGAUUUGGUGUCUUCACUCGAGUAGAUCACUGUUGCCUCCAGCACUUGAUAUGCAGCGUUUGAUCUUUUCAGUUCACAUCAGGAAAAAGGAUUAGAAGCAGUUUGUAUUCACAUGGGAAAGACAGCAAUAUAUAUUCACUGUCUUGCCUCAGGGCUAUGUUGAUUUUCUCCUGUUACAUUACAGUCUAAAGGGUCUUUGAUUAUCUUGACAUUCCAGAUCCACCAUGCUGGUCCACUAUACGGAUGGCAUCAUUCUCCUCAAGCCCAAUGAACAGGAAGUGGCAAGUACUUGGAUGCCCUCGUAAGAGAUACUCAUAUCAAGAGGUAGGAAAUAAACCCAGUAAGAUCCAGGGACCAGCACAUUGAUGGCACUCUUCGUUUCUUGCCAAUUGAAUUUCCAACCAUGGAAGCGUAGUGCUCGGUAGGUCCUUUUGGGAUUUUUGAGGCAAUAGAUUCUCAUUUGGGAAUAAUAGUGUUCUAACCAAUUUGUUGAAUAAAUAAUAGCCCAGGAUGUUGCGAGUUUUGAGUGGGUCUAGGUGAAAAGAGAAUAGAGGUGCAAGUUUGAACUAUGGUGCAGUAUAGCAUCCUUGUCUUCUCAAGUCAUGUGACAUGGUAAGUUCAGUAGUGUUGGAGGUGUCUCUAGUGAACUCUGGCCACCUCCAUUAGGAGACUCAAAGAGAAAACACCUGGAGUUUUAGAAGAAGGUUAUGCCCACUAUAGCAAAGAACUACCCGAUGCUUUCAAACCAGUUCCUGGAGUAUUACUGAACUCUAGCAAAGACUGAGCCGCAGACCAACGAUGACCAAGUGACUUUAUGGCCAGAGAUUCCCACUUUGAGCUAGGUAUUAGCACAUCUAAGUCCUUGACGGAGGAGGCAAUCUGUUGUGGUGGGAACAGUAUACUAGGCUGAGAGCUGAACAGACUCUGAAGCUUAAGAACAAACAGGUCCAAGAGGCUGAGUCAUCCAACUUGGUUGAGCCAAUACCUUCUGCUCAGUUCAAAUAUAUCCCCUUGUCAGGAGAGUCCCAUGGCAUAGGAUGGAAGGAAACCCCUGAGUUAGUUCAUGGAUGGGUCCGUUCAGUACAUUAGUGGGCCCUAAAGACUAAGUGUUGAAGUUUUUCACGAGGAAGUGCUUUAAGCUGUAUGGCUUGGUUGUCAAUUUUUUAUGGAAGGAAGAAAUAGUCAGAGAUGAGUUUCUACAAAGACUGUAGUCAGUGGGGAAUUUCUUUGCUCAUUCAUUGGUCAGGAGGCUGGGAAAAAUAAGAUGGAGUGAUCAGAGUAAGGGCAUGGGGGGGUAAGGGGUAUAGAUGACCCUAUGGGUAUUUUACUUCCUUUUCUCGUCACUGUGACAAAAGCCCUGACUGAAGCAACUUAAGGGAGGUGAAUUUUGGCUGAGUUCCUCAUGGUAGGGAAGGCAUGGCAGGAGUAUGAGGCUGUGAGUCAGUCAUGAUGUGUCCAAGGAUGUGUGAGGUCACAGCGCAUUCACAAUCAGGAAGCAGAGAGGAAUGAACACUAUGCUCAGCUUUCUUCUUUUAUUCAGUGCAGGUUCCCCCUCCAUGGUACGGAACCACCUACAUUGAAGAAGCCCCUCUUUCCUUCAGGGGAAGGGCAGUAGAGCCGAGGACUGCUGAUGGGCCAGAGCAGCCCAGGGUGACACUUCCUGCUAGUUCUGCCUUCGGGAUGAUGUGGCUUGGGACAUCUGUCACGGACUGGCUCUGAAUGUUGGAGGCCUGCCUGUGAGUUUGCUUCUAGCCCUGUGGGAUAACCCUAUGGGAUGAUUCAGCCUCUCUGGUGGUAUUAGGGUAUCUCAGCUCUGGCCAGGAGGAACAAAGCUGUGAAGAUGCCCACUUGCUGGCAGGGAUGAACCAAGGGAGACACCCUGAGGACAGAAGGGCCUCACUCUUGCUGCCUGUCUGCUGAGGAGACCCUCAACUCUUGAGUGAUCUAUAGUCACUGGUCUGGGGAUUUCUCCAGCAUGGCUGCUACCUACAUCAAGCAAGAACCUGUAUCUAAGGCACAGCUUACACAGUAUAGACUAACCAGGGAGCAUGGAGGGACAUUGUCACCUUUCCAGGUCUGUUAGAGAACAACCCAGGAUGAGCAGUGACUACCGUCGCUGUACCAAUGACGGAAUGUGGAGCUCAAGGAGCCCCCACCCUGACCAGAGGGAGUCAGGGGCACUUUGGACUGGGUCAUAGCCACCACGUGAUCCAACACUGAGUUGCUGGUGAAGAUAAACCACAGAAGAUGCUCAGGACACGUCCUGGUCCAGGUCUGAUCACUAACAACCCCAAUAACCCAGCUGGGACUUGGCUUCCUCUGGCAGCCCCAUCUAUCUGUACCCUGUACCCACAGGAAGGCUGCCUUUAUGCCCCUGAAUGCUCAUGUGACUUCAUGUGGGUACACGUAACUGAAGAGCACUUGGGGCAAAAUGAGGACCCCUGCGGAUGACACGGUGUUGUUUUCUUUACCCAAAACACUUGUUCAUUGGUGCCUCUGACCUCAGCUUCAGUAUAACCCCUUUGUGGCUACAGGGAUAGCUUACCAUAGACCUUCGGCACAUAUCUAUCAUCUUGCAAUCUGAGGGUCAGAAGUUGGAGAUAGCUUUCACUACACUAAACUCAGUCUAGGGUGGCUCUGUUUCCUGCUGUCCCAGUUUCCUUGGCUCUGGGCCCCUUCCUAUAUCUCUGUAGCCAGCCAUUGCUGAUCACAUCUGUUUCAUGGGGGCAUUGUUUGGCCCCUUCAGGACACCUGGUAACACUGAACCAUACAGGUGACUCAGGAAACCUCUCUGUUGUAAAGUCAGCUGGUUAGUAACUAGCUAUACUCACAGCCCUAAUUUCCCAUGGGUCAAGUGAAAUAGCAGGUUUUCAGUCUCCAGGAUUAGGACUCUAGCUAGCAUCAUGGGCAGUUCUACUGCCCGUUAACUACCAGGGGCUUGUGAGGUGGAUGCUAUGUCUCCACGUCAUCCUUUACUUCCCUCUUCACCACCUUGGCUCUCUCCCGAGCGUCUGGAGUUCACACUAGAGCCAAGCAAAAUGUAAAUUUGGUCUCUGAAUAUGAGAUAAUGAAAAAUUAUAACAUGUGGAAAAGAAAGAAAAUGGAAGGUGAGGUUGUAGGCAUUUUGGGCAGAUUGGGAUGGGACAGGUGUUCUGGCACUCGGGAGCCACAGAAUACUGAGUGUUACACAGCUCAGAUGGAAAGGUAUCCUGGAGCUCGGGAGCC